rnacentral:rRNA from 1 species
UGGGGAAUAUUGGACAAUGGGGGAAACCCUGAUCCAGCGACGCCGCGUGGGUGAAGAAGGCCUGCGGGUUGUAAAGCCCUUUCGGUUGGGAAGAAAAGUUGCGACCUAACACGUCGCGACCUUGACGUAACCAACUAAAGAAGCACCGGCUAACUCUGUGCCAGCAGCCGCGGUAAUACAGAGGGUGCGAGCGUUAAUCGGAAUUACUGGGCGUAAAGCGCGCGUAGGCGGCUUGGCAAGUCGGGUGUGAAAUCCCCGGGCUCAACCUGGGAACUGCAUUCGAGACUACUUUGCUAGAGUAUGGGAGAGGGAAGUGGAAUUUCCGGUGUAGCGGUGAAAUGCGUAGAUAUCGGAAGGAACAUCAGUGGCGAAAGCGACUUCCUGGACCAAUACUGACGCUCAUGUGCGAAAGCGUGGGGAGCAAACA